UACAAGGUUUUUUGGGCCCUCGGGCCUGAUACCCGUCCAUGUCAUUUGCAACGAUUUGUUUCGGCGGAGGGUUGCUGCGGAGGUUACAUCGCGAUCUUCGGGUCACGUGACAUCUCCGUGGCGGCCGCCGUCGGCCUUUUUUUCAACCUCUGCGAACCUUUGAAGUCUGAUUGUCAAAAUGAAAAUGAAGCAAAACUUUCAACAACGGAUCUCUUGGCUCUGGCAACGAUGAAGAACGCAGCGAAAUGCGAUAAGUAAUGCGAAUUGCAGAAUCAGUGAAUCAUCGAAUCUUUGAACGCACAUUGCGCCUCUCGGCAUUCCGAGGGGCACGCCUGUUCGAGCGCCAUCACACACCCCAAGCUCUGCUUGAUGUUGGACCAGGCAGGAUGCUGCCGGUCCGAAACACGUGGGCGCCCUCCGCCGACCUCGAGCGUAGCAAGAUAGCCUUCUAGGCACGUCAUUCGCAUCGUGGGUUCGGUUGAGGCGCAGCCUUGAAACUCUUGUUCUCGCAACAACAAAGUUUGGCCUCGGAUCAGGCGGGGAUACCCGCUGAACUUAAGCAUAUCAAUAAGCGGAGGAAAAGAAACCAACAGGGAUUGCCCUAGUAACGGCGAGUGAAGCGGCAACAGCUCAAAUUUGAAAUCUGGCGUCUUCGGCGUCCGAGUUGUAAUUUGCAGAGGGUGCCUCGGGUGGAGCACCGGUCCAAGUCCCUUGGAACAGGAUACCGCAGAGGGUGAGAGUCCCGUAUCCGGCCGGUCGUGUCCCCCGCUGUGAGGCCCCUUCGACGAGUCGAGUUGUUUGGGAAUGCAGCUCUAAAUGGGUGGUAAAUUCCAUCUAAAGCUAAAUACUGGCCAGAGACCGAUAGCGCACAAGUAGAGUGAUCGAAAGAUGAAAAGCACUUUGAAAAGAGAGUGAAACAGUACGUGAAAUUGUUGAAAGGGAAGCGUAUGAGGCCAGACUUGGCCGCGGAUGCUCAGCCCGUCUUCUGGCGGGUGCACUCUUCCGCGGACAGGCCAGCAUCGGUUUGGGCGGCCGGACAACGGCGCAGGGA
rnacentral:rRNA from 1 species